CGGGUGAGUAACGCGUAUGCAACCUACCAUCAACAGGGGGAUAACACUGAGAAAUUGGUACUAAUACCCCAUAAUAUCUCAUGCAGCAUCGCAUGGGGUUGAAAACUCCGGUGGUUGAUGAUGGGCAUGCGUUGUAUUAGCUGGUUGGUGAGGUAACGGACCACCAAGACGACGAUGCGUAGGGGUUCUGAGAGGAAGGUCCCCCCACACUGGUACUGAGACACGGACCAGACUCCUACGGAAGGCAGCAG
rnacentral:rRNA from 1 species